UGCGGGAUCGUCUAAUGGUAGGACAACGGACUCUGAAUCCGUUUAUCUUGGUUCGAAUCCAAGUCCCGCAGCCA
rnacentral:tRNA from 2 species